AAAUUAUUAACAAAAGAAGUAAAAUAAUGUAUUCAAACUUAUAAACAUAUGGCGGCAUUUUAUCUAAUUAGAGGAACCUGUUUAUUAAUCGAUAGCCCACGAUAAAUUUUACUUUUUUACAUAUUUUAUAUACCUCCGUCUAAAGAAUUUAUUAAAAAAUUUUAUUCAUAAUAACGUCUAAAAAGAUAGGUAAAGGUGUAGACUACAAAAAAGUUUAAAUGGGUUACACUUUAAAAAAAUUAAAGGAUCACAAUUGAAAUUUUUAAUGAAAUAGGAUUUAAAAGUAAAUUUUUAAUAAUAUUUAAUAUUGAAUAAGAUAAUAAAUGUGU
rnacentral:rRNA from 1 species